AAGCAAAAGCAAAACAACCCCUUCUGAGAAGUGUCCUCCUCGCUCUCUUAUAAAAACAGGACUUGUUGCCGAGGUCAGCGCGCGCAUCGAGUGUGCCAGGCGUGUGCGUGGUUUCUGCUGUGUCAUUGCUUUCACGGAAGGGCAAAGGAGUCCCGAAGGCUGGAUCCCUCCCCUGCGCUCGGACGGCGUCGCGGCCGCUUUUCCCACAGUCGGGAAGCGCCAAAGAAGACUGGAGGGUUUAACAGAUCGCUCUAAAACUGUUCCGAACAGGAGGGGCACGGCCAAAUAAGAAUACAACUUCAGCAGGAAAGAAUAUUCCGUUUCUAACACGCGUAAUAAAAUUUCUACUCUCCAGAGAGAAUGUCUGAAGCAUUGAAGAGUACGACCCAGGAAUUGAACCACCCAAGUCGGAGGAGGUAGAGGUUGGAAGUCACCGACUUUGGCCAGCACUUGUGUAGUGUCACCUGUCUUCACUUUCUAACGUUUAUUUUUCCUCCCCUUUCUGUGGCUGAUUUUCUGAUCUUUGUUCCUCGGUUCCCAGGACCAGGCCCACUCCCUCCGCCUUUUCAGCGAAGGCUGCAGUGCAUGACAGUUUACAGCCAAAACUUCCUCCAGCCCGGCUAUAAAGAAUUCCCAGUUAAUAACAAUGCGCUUCCUUGGGAGGAAAGAGGGGCUGAGGCACCGCCAGCUGUUUCGCUCCCAGGGUCUAUCUCUCCUUGGCAAGCCCAGCCAUUCAGAGAAAAACAAGACAAAGCCUUAUGGCUGGGCCUCAGGAUGCAACUGUCCCACCGAAAACAUGCUUGAAACAUUUUAUAAGAAAACACACACACACACCCCACUCGACUCCCAGAGAGGCAGUUUUCCUGGGCCCAAUCCCUUCUGAAAAAGCAAAGCCAUUUAUCUUUAGAAGCAGGCAACAAUGAAGCUGUAACAGGCUCAAGGAGGGGUGGAGGACAGCCUCGCGUGACUCUUACCCCACACUCUAGUCCCUCUCUUUCUGCAAGAAAAACAAAUGAAUUUCUUUUCUGAUUAUAUAUGUACUCCUUGUAGAAAUAUUAUAUAUGUAUCUGUCUUCAUAUAUAUGUAAAACAGUCACCCACAGUAUCUGUGGGGGAUUGGUUCCAGGACCUACAAAGAUGGCAGAAUCCAGGGAUGCCCUAGUCCCUUGGCAUGGUAUUUGCAUAUAACCUAUGGACUUCCUCCAUGAACUAUAAAUCACUUCUGGAUUACUUAUAAUACCUAAUACAAUGUAACACUAUGCAAAUAGUAGUUAUACUGUAUUGCUUUUUAUUUGUAUAAUUUUUAUUCUUUCAUUAUUGGGGAGAGGGAGUUUGGAAUGUUUUCUAUCAAUUCAACCAACCACGGAUAUGGAACCUGUGGCUAUGGAGGGCUGGCUGUAUGUUUAUCUCUCUCUAUGUAUAUAAAUGCUAACCUCAAGCACUAAGCAAUGUUCAUAUUUUGGGGUGUUCCUCGUCUUUUUUUCAUUUUGUUCUUCUCAUGAGCUCCUUCUCCCACACUGACUAAGCGGACUGAUCGCAAACAGUCACAAGUUCUACAUUAGAGAUGACAGCCAUGUUUCAUGGCCAAUAAUUCUGCCACCAAUUGGUUUAUUUGUCUCUCCCAUUAAAAGAAACCCAAUGGCUUUUGUUAUUGCUUUAAAAGGUGUGUAACGUAAUUCUUUAGACUCUUUACCAUUGAAAAAUUUUUAAAGCCCAUUGGGUUGUUUGAGGUGGUUGUGGUUUUGUGGGAAAGAACAGAGACUUGGUUUUUUAAAGUCUUCCUCUCAGGACAAGGAUCCCACCCUGUGCACAGCCGGCCCCUCCCUGCUGCUCUAGGGAGAAGGCUUCGUGAUGUGCUCCCUGAUCUGCAGGGAAGCUGUGGCCAUGUGGGGUGGACGCAGGGACUACCGUCAGCCUCAGGCUGCGUCUCAAAACCUGAUCCCAUCCAAGCUAUUUUUUUGGAGUCAGUGGGCUUCGUCACACAUGACAGUGUGUGGUUGUUUUAG
rnacentral:lncRNA from 1 species